UACAGAGGGUGCAAGCGUUGUUCGGAAUUAUUGGGCGUAAAGGGAGUGUAGGCGGUUCCUUAAGCCUUCUGUGAAAUCUACGGGCUUAGCCUGUAACGUGCAGAGGAAACUGGCGAGCUAGAGUACGAAAGAGGAUCGCGGAAUUCCCGGUGUAGAGGUGAAAUUCGUAGAUAUCGGGAGGAACACCGGUGGCGAAGGCGGCGAUCUGGGCCAGCACUGACGCUGAGGCGCGAAAGCUCGGGGAGCAAACAGG
rnacentral:rRNA from 1 species